ACGCUGAAGGAGGAGCUUGCUUCUCUGGAUGAGUUGCGAACGGGUGAGUAACGCGUAGGUAACCUGCCUGGUAGCGGGGGAUAACUAUUGGAAACGAUAGCUAAUACCGCAUAAUAGCAGUUGUUGCAUGACAACUGUUUGAAAGGUGCAAUUGCACCACUACCAGAUGGACCUGCGUUGUAUUAGCUAGUUGGUGGGGUAACGGCUCACCAAGGCGACGAUACAUAGCCGACCUGAGAGGGUGAUCGGCCACACUGGGACUGAGACACGGCCCAGACUCCUACGGGAGGCAGCAGUAGGGAAUCUUCGGCAAUGGACGGAAGUCUGACCGAGCAACGCCGCGUGAGUGAAGAAGGUUUUCGGAUCGUAAAGCCCUGUUGUAAGAGAAGAACGAGUGUGAGAGUGGAAAGUUCACACUGUGACGGUAUCUUACCAGAAAGGGACGGCUAACUACGUGCCAGCAGCCGCGGUAAUACGUAGGUCCCGAGCGUUGUCCGGAUUUAUUGGGCGUAAAGCGAGCGCAGGCGGUUAGAUAAGUCUGAAGUUAAAGGCUGUGGCUUAACCAUAGUACGCUUUGGAAACUGUUUAACUUGAGUGCAAGAGGGGAGAGUGGAAUUCCAUGUGUAGCGGUGAAAUGCGUAGAUAUAUGGAGGAACACCGGUGGCGAAAGCGGC
rnacentral:rRNA from 1 species